rnacentral:rRNA from 1 species
CCUACGGGAGGCAGCAGUAGGGAAUAUUGGUCAAUGGACGCAAGUCUGAACCAGCCAUGCGCGUGCAGGAAGAAGGUCCUAUGGAUUGUAAACUGCUUUUCUACGGGAAGAAACCCCUGAUGCGUCCGGGCUGACGGUACCGUAGGAAUAAGGAUCGGCUAACUCCGUGCCAGCAG